CUGUCUUUCAUUUUAAAUUAAAUAAAAACGCAAUUACAUUUCUCAACCGCUAGAUGGCAACAUCCCUACUGAGACAUGCUGACAACGCGAGACUUGAUAGCACAGAUCACCGGUCACGCGAUCGACCAUUUUCAAAUAUUUUAAACGAGGCAGAGCAUUGCAUGCAUUCAGCUGACGGUCGACGACAACAGAUGCUGUGAUGACCAACUUCCCCGCAGCAACAGAUUUUUCUAUUUUAUUAUCUUAAGUUGUUCAUGUUAAAAUAAUUUUAUAUUUUUAAUUUUAAUAUUUGUUUUGGUAAUUUUUAUGUCUUGAAGUUACGUAAUGUUGUUCUUUUGCUAAAUAAAGCCUUUUAUAUAUGUA